rnacentral:rRNA from 1 species
AGGGGCAGCACAAGGAGCAAUCUGAGGUGGCGACCGGCGCACGGGUGAGUAACACGUAUGCAACCUGCCUGUAAGCGGGGAAUAACCCGUUGAAAGACGGACUAAUACCGCAUAAUACUAAAUUACUGCAUGGUAAUUUAUUUAAACAUUUAUGGCUUACAGAUGGGCAUGCGCAUGAUUAGCUAGUUGGAGAGGUAACGGCUCCCCAAGGCAACGAUCAUUAGGGGUUCUGAGAGGAAGGUCCCCCACACUGGUACUGAGACACGGACCAGACUCCUACGGGAGGCAGCAGUGAGGAAUAUUGGUCAAUGGACGAGAGUCUGAACCAGCCAAGUCGCGUGCAGGAAGAAUGUCCCUAUGGAUUGUAAACUGCUUUUGCAGGGGAAUAAAGUGCAUCACGUGUGAUGUUUUGUAUGUACUCUGCGAAUAAGGAUCGGCUAACUCCGUGCCAGCCGCGGC